UGUUUGCACUUAGCGGGAAGGGUAAGAACCUUCGAUUCGAGCGCCAGCGAGAGAACGUUGCAGCAGGCAACGGCCCGAAGGGCGAGGAAAGAUAGCGACGAGUUAUCCUUCCCCCACCACCA
rnacentral:sRNA from 1 species